rnacentral:rRNA from 1 species
AACGCGAAGAACCUUACCUGGGCUCGAAAUGCUAUGGACCAGCUGGUGAAAGCCGGCCUUCCCGCAAGGGACUGUAGUAUAGGUGCUGCAUGGCUGUCGUCAGCUCGUGUCGUGAGAUGUUGGGUUAAGUCCCGCAACGAGCGCAACCCUUGUCCUGUGUUGCCAUCAUUCAGUUGGGAACUCGCAGGAGACCGCCAGGGAUAACCUGGAGGAAGGUGGGGAUGACGUCAAGUCCUCAUGGCCUUUAUGUCCAGGGCUACACACGUGCUACAAUGGACGGUACAAACCGUCGCAAAGCUGCAAAGUGGAGCUAAUCGGAAAAAGCCGGCCUCAGUUCGGAUUGGAGUCUGCAACUCGACUCCAUGAAGCUGGAAUCGCUAGUAAUCGCAGAUCAGAACGCUGCGGUGAAUACGUUCCCGGGCCUUGUACACACCGCACGA